ensembl:lncRNA
GGCAGAAGAGACUUUAAGAACCUGAGUUUUUUGUGAUCUUGAGUGCCGCCUCCCAUUUCACAGUUAAAGAAACUGAGGCCAGCUCCAGCUGUGCCCUCCUGCCCUGCUUUUCUACCCGCCUGUCCAGAGGGCCCCUCUUCUCCAUCUCUCCUGUCCUCUGCCUGGCUCCAGGAGGAUGCCCCUGCUCCCCUUCUCCUUCCAUAGCCCUCCCAGACAGUCUGACCCCUGGCCUGGCUGCCCCGUGUCAAAGGGAGUUGAUCCUCUGACUUCCUGCAGCCCAGAAAGCCUGCUGGUCUGCUCUCGGGGAAAUCCCAAGACCCCAGCACAGGAAAAAUCACAGCCGGCAACCCUUCGCUCCCUGACCUCAUCUCCACAAAGCUCGGCCCCUAAUUGCCUCCGGCUUCCACCGCAGCCGCCCGGGCAGGAACCACCUGUGAACCGACACCUGUUCACCGAUUCUGCAAAUUAUGUACCAGACCUCGUUCCUGCCCUGGGAGGAUGACAGUGAACUGGAUGCACGAAGUCCUUGCCGGCAUGAAGCCCGCAUUCUGGAGGGAGUGCUAGGGCGAUGGGUCUCAGCACUUUUUAUUUUAUGAAUAAGUGACUCUUUAUGGCACAACUAUUCAUUCAGAGCCAGCCCGUCUGGCUGUGUGUUUUUCUUGGUUGGAAUUAUUAACUCCACUUCCUGUUGUCUGGAGACAUGCGGGUUGUGGAGAGGAAUCUUGAGUGGAUGGAUGGCAAAGAUGACAAAUGAACCACUGUUGCCACGUGAGUUAGAAUUAAUGCUCUGGUCUUUGAGUUUAUUAGAGUGAAUGGCUAUGGGGUCUUAAACUGAGAUAUAAAUAUUUGAAGUGUGGAGCAUUAUUUGGCCGAGACUUGGAGAAAUACGUAAAUGAAAAGAGAGCAUACGAUAACUUGUGCUCAUUCUUCAGGGUUUUAAGUGAGUUCCACUUCUGGCUUUUUGGAUUGAAUAGGUAGUUUGAACCAAUAAUCCCAAUGAAAACAACUAUAAAAUGGAUCAAAUGUCUUCUAAUAUUGUUAAAAGGAAUGGGAGCCCUAACAAGGUGGUGAAAUGGUAUGGAGGAAGAUCCAGAAGAUGAUGGAAGUCUGGAGAGGUCUGGUCAGCAUUGAGUGCUGCCCUGUCUGCUGCUUCAGGAAGAGGAGGAAAUGGAGCUCCCAGUUCUUUACAGGAUUUUUUCCUGGGAAGCUGAAGUGCUUUAAAAAAUACUCAAUCAUCACUAUCAGCUUUUCCCAAAAUUCAAUAGGAGCUUUGAUCUACGCUCACGUUUGUGGUAGACACACUCGAGAAGUGGCCCCCGUGACUCCCUUCCCCAGUCCUGGAGUUCACACCCUCGAGUGUGGGAAGACCUGGGACUUCUUCUAACCAACCGACCACCACACAGAUGGCCAGAUGUGCAAGGUUACAGCCACAUAAGACUUUAGCAUCAGUUUGGCUGGAGUCUCGCUCUCUCUGCCUUGCUGGCUUUGAGGACGCAAGUGAUCCUCUUGGAUAACCCCGUGUGGCAGGAACUGGAGGGUGCCUCUGGGGCAGAAGGGGGGCCCGGCUAACAGCCAGUGAGAAACUGAAGUCUUCAGUCAAAUGCUUGCAAGAAACUGAAUUCUUCCCACAACCGGGGUAGGCUUGGAAAUGAUCCUCCUGCAGGCAAACCUCAGAUGAGAACACAGCCCGUCCGACACCCAGAUUCCUGCCUGGCUGAGACUCUAAACAGAGAAUCCAUCUAAGCUGUCCCUGGACUCUAUUUCUUAUUGACACAUGAAAAAGCUCAUGGGAGACUGUGUUUCUAAAAUUGGAACAGAAUAACCAUACCAAGUACUGGCAAGGAUGUGGAUCAAGGGCAACGAUCAAGGGCAACGCUCACACACCGCUUGGGGAGACGCAAAAGUGUACAGCCCCUCUGGGAAACAGGGCUACCGUUUCUUAAAGGUUAAACAUUAAAGCAACAGUGAGAUACCCCUCUACUCUUAUUAAAAUGGCCCAAAUCUGAGACAAUGACAGCAUCACAGCUGGCAAGGGUGUGGAGCAACAGGAACUCUCGUUCGCUGGUGGUGGGAAUGCAAAAUGUGCAGCUACUUUGGAAGACAGUUUUUGGUGUUUUUUACAAACUUAACAUAAUCUUAACAUAGGAUCCGGCACCCACGGUAUUUACCUUGGUAUUUACCCAAAUGAGCUGAAAAUGUGUCCACACAAAAACCUGCACACAAAUGUUUAGAGCAGAU